GCUAUGUAUGCUGCAUAUGGAUGCCAUGCUGCAUACAUGUCAUUUACUUUACAUAUAUUUGCAGACGUAUAUAUAUUGCACAGGUGUCCGGAGUAUGUUAUUGACUCGGUGGGUUUACGGAUCAUGGUAUCAGGGGGUUGGUUCUUUUCGGGCAGUAUGUAGAUGAUAUGGAGAUGCUUGGAGUAUGUUGCUGGCCGGUUCCCCCUUCCCACGCCAUAUCCGGAGACUUUUUUUUGGUUUUGUUUUCUCUUUCCCUACCCUUCGAUUUUGUUGGAUUUAGAGUUGUGAAAACGAACUAUGUUUGAUUCGUGUAUUGUGGACUUAUGCCUGUGGUAUUUUGUGGACUUUCGCAUUUGUGGGUUCUUUAUUCGUUUUUC